CAGGUAGGACCCAUAUAGGAAAA
rnacentral:rRNA from 1 species